rnacentral:rRNA from 1 species
AGCGAACGCUGGCGGCAGGCUUAACACAUGCAAGUCGAGCGGGCACUUUCGGGUGUCAGCGGCGGACGGGGGAGUAACGCGGGGGAACGUGCCCUCGGGUUCGGAAUAACUCAGGGGGACUUGAGCUAAUACCGGAUACGCCCUUUUGGGGAAAGGCUUGCUGCCGGAGGAUCGGCCCGCGUCUGAUUAGCUAGUUGGUUGGGUAACGGCACGCCAAGGCGACGAUCAGUAGCUGGUCUGAGAGGAUGAUCAGCCACACUGGGACUGAGACACGGCCCAGGCUCCUACGGGAGGGAGCAGUGGGGAAUAUUGGGCGAUGGGGGCAAGCCUGAUACAGCCAUGCCGCGUGAGUGAUGAAGGCCUUAGGGUUGUAAAGCUCUUUUAGCCGGGACGAUAAUGACGGUACCGGAGGAAUAAGCCCCGGCUAACUUCGUG